GACCUCUUGGCUCAGUGGUAGAGCAUCUGAUUCCAGCACAAUGAGAACGUCCAGAAGGUCGUCCGUUCGAUCCGGGCAGAGGUCA